UCCAGAGACUGCAAGCGUUAUUCGGAUUCACUGGGCGUAAAGGGUGCGCAGGCGGCCAAGUGUGUUAGGCGUGAAAGCCUGAGGCUUAACCUCAGAAUUGCACCUAAAACUACAUGGCUAGAGCAUUGGAGAGGGUAGCGGAAUUCACGGUGUAGCAGUGAAAUGCGUAGAUAUCGUGAGGAACACCAGAGGCGAAGGCGGCUACCUAGACAAUUGCUGACGCUCAGGCACGAAAGCGUGGGGAGCAAAAGGG
rnacentral:rRNA from 1 species